rnacentral:sRNA from 1 species
UAUACGGCGAUAUUCUCCUCAGGAGCAG